UUGGUCCCUGAGUUAGUAUCUUCUCUGCAAAAGGCCUGCUCUCUCCUCCCUCAUGUGUUAUCUAUUCUCUGUUUUCAGCUUCCGUAUUUAAGUGCCUUCAGCUGGCAUGUUAAAUGGAGCACUGAGGAUGGUAUAUUACACAAAUGUUUGCUUGGCUUUGUUUUAGCUGACAUGUUUUGUGGAAAAAUCUGCAAAGAGGACUGUAAAGUGAACCCUUGAAGUGGACAGCACUGACUGCAAACCUGGAUUUAUUGUUUUCAUCACAGAAGUACUACGUGCUUGAUUCAUCCAUCCUAGUACAUCAUGAGAGAGAGCCAAGAAACAAACAGCUGAUAAGACAUAGUUAUGGCUUUUCAAAAAGUGUAUGUAAACAGGCACUGUCGGGAACUAACUUUUCUAAAAUAAGAUUCAGUUGAUAUCAGUCUUGACUAAAGUAUGAAGUAAACAGAUCUGAGAAUAUAGUUUACAGGGGGUCCACCAGAGACCAGAGUAUUAGGUCAAGGAGUAGAAGUACAAGGCUGGAAGGUACUUGAAGACCAUAGACUCCAGUUUUGUACUGAGGGGAGAUUCCCCAUUAUAUUUAAUCUGAUUAUAAAAGUGUUGAAUGAAAAGGAGGAGGAUUAAGAUGCAUUGUAUCAGAGGUAUUGGCUGGCAAAGUAUGGGUUAGGUAAACAAGCAUUCAUCUUCCUGCUUCCUUGGUGUAAAUAUCCAUGGCAUCAUUACUCCCUUCCCACUUACAGGAACAAAAUGCAAUGUGGGGCACCAAGUCCUGCUUAAGCUAGUAUGACUUUAAUUCUAGUUAAAGAUUUGGGGCAGAGAAAAGGAAAGCCCAGGGUGUUAGGACUCCCUAAUAGUACUGGUUAAUUUAUGAAAGCACAUUAAUUUAGUUGUGGCAUGUUUUUUUUUAAACACACACACGCCAUUCUGAACCCUGCCGUGUUGAGGAAUCCAUAACUUUGAACCUCUGAUUUCCCUUCUGAACAUGGAGUUCCUAAUUGAAGUUUUGAAGAAGAAGAAAAUCUAAUCAGUGAAACUGCCUAAGGAGAAAGAAGCUUUAUAGGCCAAGGUUACAGAACAGCUUGGGAAUCUGCCCAAUGGAACUGCAAAGACUGAUGCAGUGCUAGAGCUCCUGCUGACCUAAGAAAACCAGUGCUUCAUCAUCUUAGUCAUAAGGCCACAAAGUUGCCAAGAUUUUUAGGGGAGUUGUAGAAAAUUGCUCAAAAUUGGAGUCAAGAAUCAGCUAGAGAAGUGUUUUGAGUGAAAUUUAUCUCUUAGAAUGCUGGAUCUUUGACCUAUUCAUAUGGAUGGAUUGUCAGGAAAAAUAUUAAAAGUGUCAUUAUGUAGUA